rnacentral:snoRNA from 2 species
UAGCAAGCCUCCGGCAUGCUUGGGUCUGCAGUGACCCUGUCGCAUUCCUACAGUGCUUGCCUGUACAGCUUUGAAAUGGAUUGAGGCCUUGCCCCACCCUAUCCAGAGCAAGGUUAUAGGAACUUCAGACAAUC